CCCUUUCAAUGAGUCCACUGACCUCUUACUUCAUUUCAGAGGAAGCGCCCUUCGACUGCAAAGGUUUCAGCUUUAUUGUGGCGAGUUUCUUCUUGGCAAUCUCGUUCUGCCUCGCUUGGAUGCUUAACCCAGGAAUGAAGGACAAGGGCACAAAAGCUGCCGUUUCAGACAACGCUGAUGAGGAAGCAGCGCAAGGACCACUACUGGCAAAAUGGACCAGACCAUGACUCCAGCUUCAGGAAACUGAGCUAUAAAGCUCAGCUGGAGUGUGCGUAAAAUUGUAGGAUAUGUGAAUUAGAGUGCCAACAACAUAGGGCUUGCAUGUACCUGUAGUAUAGUGUCUGUACAUACCUCAGAACGAGAAAGCCGAUAAAGCUCGGUGUUUUGUGCCAUCCAGCCUUCACUGUUUCAGGCAAAUGGAUCUUUAU